CAUAUGCGUUAACUUCGUGCCAGCAGCCGCGGUAAUACGAAGGGUGCUAGCGUUGUUCGGAAUUACUGGGCGUAAAGCGCGCGUAGGCGGCUUAUCAAGUCAGGGGUGAAAUCCCGGGGCUCAACCCCGGAAUUGCCCUUGAAACUGAUAAGCUAGAGUGUCGGAGGGGAUAGCGGAAUUCCUAAUGUAGAGGUGAAAUUCGUAGAUAUUAGGAGGAACACCGGUGGCGAAGGCGGCUAUCUGGACGACAACUGACGCUGAGGCGCGAAAGCGUGGGGAUCAAACAGGAUUAGAUACCCUGGUAGUCCACGCUGUAAACGAUGGAUGCUAGCCGUUGGGGGGUUACCCCUCAGUGGCGUAGCUAACGCGUUAAGCAUCCCGCCUGGGGAGUACGGUCGCAAGAUUAAAACUCAAAGAAAUUGACGGGGACCCGCACAAGCGGUGGAACAUGUGGUUUAAUUCGAGGCAACGCGAAGAACCUUACCAGGAUUUGACAUGCCUCUCGCGGACUCCCGAAAAGGAGUCCUUCGGUUCGGCCGGAGAGGACACAGGUGCUGCAUGGCUGUCGUCAGCUCGUGUCGUGAGAUGUUGGGUUAAGUCCCGCAACGAGCGCAACCCUCGUUCUCUGUUGCUAACAGGUUAGGCUGAGCACUCUGAGAAAACUGCCGGUGAUAAGCCGGAGGAAGGUGGGGAUGACGUCAAGUCCUCAUGGCCCUUACAUCCUGGGCUACACACGUGUUACGAUGGUGGUGACAAUGAGUCGCGAUCCCGCAAGGGCUAGCCAAUCUCAAAAAGCCACCUCAGUUUGGAUUGUACUCUGCAACUCGAGUACAUGAAAUUGGAAUCGCUAGUAAUCGCGGAUCAGAACGCCGCGGUGAAUACGUUCCCGGGCCUGUACACACCGCCAUCGAGCCCCUGA
rnacentral:rRNA from 1 species